GAUGAACGCUGGCGGCGUGCCUAAUGCAUGCAAGUCGAGCGAACGGACGAGAAGCUUGCUUUUCUGAUGUUAGCGGCGGACGGGUGAGUAACACGUGGAUAACCUACCUAUAAGACUGGGAUAACUUCGGGAAACCGGAGCUAAUAUCGGAUAAUAUUUUGAACCGCAUGGUUCAAAAGUGAAAGACGGUCUUGCUGUCACUUAUAGAUGGAUCCGCGCUGCAUUAGCUAGUUGGUAAGGUAACGGCUUACCAAGGCAACGAUGCAUAGCCGACCUGAGAGGGUGAUCGGCCACACUGGAACUGAGACACGGUCCAGACUCCUACGGGAGGCAGCAGUAGGGAAUCUUCCGCAAUGGGCGAAAGCCUGACGGAGCAACGCCGCGUGAGUGAUGAAGGUCUUCGGAUCGUAAAACUCUGUUAUUAGGGAAGAACAUAUGUGUAAGUAACUGUGCACAUCUUGACGGUACCUAAUCAGAAAGCCACGGCUAACUACGUG
rnacentral:rRNA from 1 species